rnacentral:piRNA from 1 species
UGUGAAGCUUAAGGGUCAUAUGUUUGC